ACUCCUACGGGAGGCAGUAGUAAGGAAUAUUGCGCAAUGGACGAAAGUCUGACGCAGCGACGCCGCGUGGGGGAUGAAGGUCUUCGGAUUGUAAACCCCUUUCGGGAGGGAAGAUGGAGUGGGUAACCGCUUGGACGGUACCUCCAGAAGCAGCCACGGCUAACUUCGUGCCAGCAGCCGCGGUAAUACGAAGGUGGCAAGCGUUGUUCGGAUUCACUGGGCGUACAGGGAGCGUAGGCGGUUGGGUAAGCCCUCCGUGAAAUCUCCGGGCCUAACCCGGAAAGUGCAGAGGGGACUGCUCAGCUAGAGGAUGGGAGAGGAGCGCGGAAUUCCCG
rnacentral:rRNA from 1 species